UAGGGAAUCUUCCACAAUGGACGCAAGUCUGAUGGAGCAACGCCGCGUGAGUGAAGAAGGUCUUCGGAUCGUAAAACUCUGUUGUUAGAGAAGAACACGAGUGAGAGUAACUGUUCAUUCGAUGACGGUAUCUAACCAGCAAGUCACGGCUAACUACGUCNCGA
rnacentral:rRNA from 1 species